CCAAUAGACAUUCCACAAUCUUCAAUCUGACUUGCAAACAUGCAAUUGGCAGUAACCCAACCAAAAUUAAAUUCUAAUUUCAGUGUGAACAAUACACAUACAAAAUGGAAGUAAAACCAAACUUAAUUUGAAUUUCAGGCUUAAUUUCACUAACUAAAUUUGGUGUGAAUCACAAACAUGACUAACUGAUUUCAUUUAUAACUGACUCUGAAUUUUGUGUGAAUUUGAACAUGAUUUCGAUGGCAUUUCGUAACUGAUUCAAGAUUUAUAAAACCUCAUAUUCUGCAGUUUUUCAUCCACUCAUCACACACGCAGAACAAAUCACAUAGCACAGUCACUCUUAACUCUCAGAAUCUCAUGAUUCAUAACUCUCAUCUCAAUCUCACGCAACUGUUCAAUACCAUUUUCUAAUAACAACAACACAAUAGUAGCAGAAUUUUGAGAAGAAGAAGAAGGAAUCAAAUCAAGGAGAGUGAAGAUUCAAUACCUGGUCACGUCAAAACUCUGUUGGGGUUAGUUUUCUCAUCUCUGUUUUGAUUCCGGUUCUUUUCGAUGUCACGCGUGCAUAUAAACGAGUUUAAUUUAGGAAUAUUGAUUCCAGAUAUUUGCUUGAUUUGGAGCCGUUGUUCUUCAUCUUAUUUUCAUUACGAGUUCACGCUUGGAGAAUGAGACGCGAAUCAACGAGGAUGUAUGUUGAGUUCAAUUUUGGAGGUUAAAGGUUGCAGAGUGUUUGUUUCUUCACAACCUUCGUUUGGAUUCCGUACUGAGGAGAAGAAAAUGCAUGUUGCAGUUGCAGUUUUGCCGAGAUGGUGGAUCUCGUUUGCGUCGUGAAAAACUUGAGUAUUGGAAUUCAUUUCUGAC
rnacentral:lncRNA from 1 species